GACGAACGCUGCGGGGGGCCUAAACCCAUGAAGUUGGACCGGAAAGGCCCGGCUUUUGGGGGGGGCUCGAGUGCGGACGGGGUAGGUACACGGGGGGUACCCGCCCUUGGACUUUGGGUUACCUUCAGGAACCUGGGGCUAUACCGGGUAAGGGGUUCCGCCUGAUUGGUGGGGGUUGGAAGGUUUCGGCGGUUGGGGAUGGACUCGCGGCUUAUCAGCUUGUUGGUGGGGUAGUGGCUUACCAAGGCUUUGACGGGUAGCCGGCCUGAGAGGGUGACCGGCCACAUUGGGACUGAGAUACGGCCCAGACUCCUACGGGAGGCAGCAGUGGGGAAUAUUGCACAAUGGGCGGAAGCCUGAUGCAGCAACGCCGCGUGCGGGAUGACGGCCUUCGGGUUGUAAACCGCUUUCGCCUGUGACGAAGCGUGAGUGACGGUAAUGGGUAAAGAAGCACCGGCUAACUACGUG
rnacentral:rRNA from 1 species